CAAUGUUAUUCUGAUUUGAAUGUAUUUGUAAGCAACAACAAUUCGGGAUUGAUAAAUCAGCUUAUAUGCGAAAAACAGCUGAGACUUUCGUUUUAAAUACUCAAUUCGAACGCCUUGGAAAUGUUGAAAUUUUUGCUUACUUUUGGCACGGGUUUCUAUGCUGGUGCGUAUGCAGCACAAAACUAUGAAAUCCCAAAAGUAGACGAUCCAUCACGGGUAUAUGAACGAAUUGUUGAUUUUUUGGAUCAGUAUAGAAAAAAAUGAUGUAUUCAGUCGUCGCGAGAAUCUUAACAAGAUAUCAUCCUUUUGAUAGGGACUGAACAAUAAAAUGAUUUUUUUAAGAUGUUGUAGAGAGUCAUAUAUGGCAUCGUUGCACCUUUUGAUGAAUAAAAUUAGUGUUAAACUAAAAAUGCAAUUUGUUUCAAUAUAAA